UACCCCCGGCGAUGGGCAGAGACACCUUUGUUAGUGGUAUUGUUCUUAUAUCAGUCAGAGGCAGAGCAGGUGGCAGUCCUUUGCUCAUCCUAGCUUGAUUCCUGGCUUGGCGGCCAAAGAUGGUUUAUGCCUAGGACUCAGAA